CAUGUACCCUUACGCCCACCGUGCUAUAACCGUCCAUAGUGUUGCGCAGCGAUGCUGCAGUGCAAUAUAUUUUCAAGACGUUAAGUAUGUAUAUAUAUAUAUAUAUGUUCGCGAAACAUCGGUCGGUUUGAAUAUAUUUCAACGUGCAGUACUAUACGACGGGCGCGUGCCUAAAUGGUUUGAAGUUAACGAAGUACAGUGCGCGUUCAAGGAGAUACGCGAAUGCAAAUGAUAAUUCAAGAAGGUCUAACCAAAUAAUGUUCGGAACAAUGUUUCGCGUACAAAAAUGUACGUUCCGAGUUCUUACGGGAUAAUA